UUCAUUCUAUAACAGUGAAAAAAGUGUUUUUUGUUUUUAAAUACAAGCUUUGUGUCACCAGAUCUAAGUGGUGGCACUGGUCACCGUAUCCACUGUUAGCGUAACACACCCGCUUUAAGGACACUGACUGCUAUUCAAUCUAUAACAGUGAAAAAAGUGGGGUUUUUUUAAAUCCAAGCUAUUGUGACACCAGAUCUAAGUGGUGGCACUGGUCAC